rnacentral:misc_RNA from 1 species
GAUGAAGAACGUAGCGAAAUGCGAUAAGUAAUGUGAAUUGCAGAAUUCAGUGAAUCAUCGAAUCUUUGAACGCACAUUGCGCCCAUUAGUAUUCUAGUGGGCAUGCCUGUUCGAGCGUCAUUUCAACCAUCAAGCCCUAUUUGCUUGGCGUUGGGAGACUUGUAGGUCUGGCCUGCAAGCUCCUGAAAUAGAUCGGCGGAGUCGUGGCGACCCUCAGCGUAGUAAUUCUUCUCGCUUUAGGUGUCGGCGCUGGCGUUUAGCCGCUAAACCCCCUAUUUCUUUUAGUCUUGACCUCGGAUCAGGUAGGAAUACCCGCUGAACUUAAGCAUAUCAAUAAGCGGAGGA